UGUUUUGUGACUAAGUUGGUUAAAGCGCUGGACUAGCGAUACGGAGUCGUGGAUUCGAAUCUCACCAAUACAA
rnacentral:tRNA from 1 species